rnacentral:rRNA from 1 species
UACGGAGGGUGCGAGCGUUGUCCGGAAUCACUGGGCGUAAAGGGCGCGUAGGUGGCGCGGCAAGUCAACGGUGAAAGCUCGACGCUCAACGUCGAGUCGGCCGUCGAUACUGCCGCGCUGGAGCACUGUAGAGGCUCAUGGAAUUCCGGGUGUAGCGGUGGAAUGCGUAGAGAUCCGGAAGAACACCGGUGGCGAAGGCGGUGAGCUGGGCAGUAGCUGACACUGAGGCGCG